ACUCCUACGGGAGGCAGCAGUGGGGAAUUUUGGACAAUGGGCGCAAGCCUGAUCCAGCCAUGCCGCGUGAGUGAAGAAGGCCUUCGGGUUGUAAAGCUCUUUCGGCUGGGAAGAAAUCGCAUCUCCUAAUACGGGGUGUGGAUGACGGUACCAGCAUAAGAAGCACCGGCUAACUACGUGCCAGCAGCCGCGGUAAU
rnacentral:rRNA from 1 species